rnacentral:misc_RNA from 1 species
CACUUGCGUGAACAGCUGCACACGCGACUCGCAUCUCUGUCGUCCCUUGUUUUGCUACGUCCAACGAGGAAGAACUUCCUCGCUGAUCGCCCCUCACCAUCCAUUCAUCCUUCAUUCCGUUCGUCCCUCGUCGCUCUACGUUGCAGCGUUGUGAGACGAGUGUACGUGCUCUUGUACACAGUGCUGCUCGGACGGCUUCGCCCCCUCCCCAUUCCUCCUUCGUUCUCUCAGCACGCGUCCGAUGUCGUCGGUGUCGAAUUCGGAGAUUGCGAAGCGUAUCCGCGAAGGAAAUCAGAAGCGCAGGGAGGAGGAGCGCAAGAAGCAGCAGCUGGAGCAGGAAUACCUCGAGGUUGUCACGAAGAAGCUGAAUGAGGAGCGUCAGAGUCGCAGCCCGACGCGGUUCCUGCCGAGCAUUCUGAUCUGCCUUCUCUUCGUGAGCUUCCCACUCUCUGAGCAGGUUGUCGACUGGUAUCUGGUUGGCAUCUUCUGCGUCCUGAACACACUUCUCGCCUUCGCCUUCACCAACCCGUCGGAGUGGCUAAGCAUCGCCUCCACCGUCCUCAUCAACUUCCUCCUUGUCCGCUUCUCAAGUGAGAUCUACAACAUCCCGCAGCGGUUGGUGCAGGUGCCGCUCAUCCUGCUCGUCAACUAUGUCGCCAUAAACCUGCUCAUCGUCGCCGCGGCGUACUUCCUGUACGUGAGCCCGCGCUUCCUUCGCUUCUCGCGCAGCUACGGUGGGAAGCGGGGGCGGCAGACGUCCGCCAAGCACAGGGGCCACCACUCCAACGAAUAUGACGUGCUGGAGGCGUUUGCGAUGCAGAAGGAGGAGGCUGAACGCCUGGACCUCCUUCUCUGUCUGCUGCUGCUGCUCAACGUGGCGGCGCUCAUCUACUUUGGCGUCAUUCCCUUUCACCUCGUUCUGCAGAAUGGGCUUAAUGUGUUUCGACUGCUGAAGUAGAGAAGGGACGGCCCCCUUCUGGCUUGCCGAUGCCCGCGGGUUUACUCGUGUGUGGCGUGUGGCGUGUGGUGUGUGUGUGUGUGUUGGAGGGGGGGGCACGGACUCUCUCGCUCGGUGCGCUCUGUCGCGAUGGAAUCCUUUCCUCGUUGCCGAGCUUCUUCCGGUUUGUGGUUGCCGGCCCUCCCCCUCCCCCUCCCCCUCCCCAAGCUUGAGGAACCCGUGUGGGGCCGGGAUGGGGUAUACGCACGUGUGCGCAUCUUCGUGCAAUCCUUCCCCACUGUGCGCUGCAGAGACCGAAAGGAAAACAAAACUGGAAAGGGCAUCAGAGACUCCAGAGACCCCGUUCAGGCCCAUGUGGCCCAUGAUACUCCGCGGUGAAGAGCUGCCGCGAGCCAUAGUCGUGGUACCUCACGUGUUCUGCGUUGUGUGCGCGCGCUCCAUGCACACAUGCGCUCCAUAC